rnacentral:lncRNA from 1 species
CUGCUCUGAUGUAAUUCAACUUGAAAUAUAAACCAAAGAGGGAUAUUUUAACCUAAUAUCUGGGGAAAUUUGGCAAUGUAAUAGAAAAAUUUACUUUUAUGGACAAGAAGAAUGUGCUUGAUCAGAAGAAUGUCAUUUGGAGCCUUUAAUGGAUCUACUCAGUUGAAACAGUGCAUGACUGAUGCCAAAAGGCACAGUCUUCUUAUCUCUUUUCUCCCCAGGCAUGUACCACUGCCUCCUCCCUUGAGACAGAGCUGGAGACCAUGUGGUUGGAGGGUGGCCUCAAAAGCUCAUUGAUCGCCUGAGUAAAUGGAUAAUUUCUUACGGUAGGCUUGUUCUCUGUUGGAUUAAUUAUCUGACCCCAUUUAUCCAAUGGUAGCUGGAUUGCCAGAGUCAAUGGAAAAAGAAAAAGUAAGGAGCUUGAGUGGGACCACACCUUCUGUGAGCUAUAAUUGGACCAGGCUAUAAAUAGACCCAUUAUAUCUAGUGUGAAAUCUCGGAAGAAAGGAAACGGCAGGGAAGGUCUGGUGAUUUACAGGAUAACUCCUCAGGGCUUUGUCUGGGCUGGUGGAGCUGGUGCUUCUUCUCAUCCCACAGUUCCAGCUACCUGCGCUGCCUUGGCAGCUGAGGCUGCAAGCAAAGGCAAAAGAGACACCAGGCAAUGUUGGGGGCAAAAGGCAAGGGAGGUGCAUGCUGUUUAUUUCUGAGGAAGAAAAGGAAGGUGUGAAUGUAAAGAACAGAUCGACAGGCUUAAGUGACAUCCAUUUCAUGUAUGCUUUGUUGUGUUUGGAAAGGAUUUCUGUUAAUUGCGAACAGUGGAGAAAAUUUGUGCUUAUAAUAUGGUAGAGAUUUCUGAGUAGAAUAAUUAUGCUCAUUGGAGUUGAACUAAAAGCUCACCCUAGAGUAAGGCAAAGAAGUGUGUUUGUGUGUAGCUAUAGGGAAAAAUAAGAAGGACAAAAGACUCCAGUCUUCCUUGAAAAGCAGCAAUGCUUUUAAAUAUUUCUUGAUGCCAGAGAGCUGUUAUAGCUGUAAUGUUGGGGACCAUUGCUAGAACAAUUGGUGAAAUAUGGGCUGGCUGGAAGGAAUUUGUAGCAACAAAACCAGCUUAAAGCACAGGAUCUGAGACAGCCUGUAUGGAGUCCUGAGAUGUCUGACAGUCACAAAAUGUGAAUGAAGCAGGCUAGGCAAAAGCCUUACCAUAGAACAGGCUGUGAAAUAGUGUUAAUCAACAUUUAAGAUAGUAUACAUUACUCUGUUUUCUUACCUUUUGUGUGCUUUUUAUUCUCUAAGAAAAUAUUGCUAAAGUCAAGUCAUUCAUGUUUGUAAAUGAGGAAAAUUAUUCCAGAGAGCACCACAAAGUUUUGCUUAAUUUCCCAACUUUUGGGCUCAACAAGAAUCAAUGGUUAAUAGGCAUCAUCCCCUGCUGCUACCAGCUAAGUCCUGACAAAAACAUGUUGCAGAAGUAAACAUGAAUUGAUGCAUUAUGUCUGCUUCUGUGUUUCAAAUAAAUUUCAAAAACCCAAAAAGCA